rnacentral:lncRNA from 10 species
GUACCUCCAUCUGCGGAGGCCGCGGCGCCCGGCCCCAGCUGCCCCGGACGUGCGGCGACGGCACGCAGCACUGCGGCAGGGGGAAGCCAGCCCUCGCUGCGGCCGAGGUGAGUCUAACCUGAGGCACUGACGCCGUCACAUGCCCUCCGUGCUGGGGCCGGCGGUGCGGCUCGCCAGUUGAGGGGCAGGGCGGGCCGGCGCCGCGGAGCGAGAGGACGUGAGCGAGGAACUGUUUGCACUGUGUAGUAAAGAGGGAAUGGCCAUGAGAUGUGAGUAGAAGCCCCCUGGACAGCCUCCAAAAGAGAACUGUGAGAAAAGGUUCUUCAAUCCUAAAAAUGAUGGAGGAAAAAACAGUCCCUCUUCCUCAGACAGUGACACCUCAAACUGCUACAGUCACCUUUGCAGCAAGCCUGAAGAUGCCACC